rnacentral:lncRNA from 10 species
UCUCACACAGCCCUAUUCAGAGGUCUACGUGGUCAACAACUGAAGCUUCCUGACAACACCCAGCACCACCUUGCCAAGCCUGUGAAUGAAUGAUCAGCUUAAAAGUGAAUCUGCUAGUCCCAGUCAAGCCUUCAGGUAACUGUAAUCCCAGCCAACAUCUAGACUGUAACCUCAUGAGAGAACCUGAACCAGAACUACCCAGAUGGGAACCACUCAGACUGUGUCCUCUCUCUCUUACUCUCCCAGAGAAGAGAAGAACGAUCAUCAAUGGCCAAUGGCAGUUGCAGCGAAGCCACACCAAGAGCCGGCUUCAUGCUCAGGAGAGAACGCUGCACUUCCUGCUCAUGGUUUCCGGUGCUCUACAAGUUCACAGAAACUUCUCUAGUAGUGCACUGUAGAAAUGAUCCCUGAAAAUAUAGUCUUGACGAGGUGACUCUUAAUCUGGAUUCUCCCCAUGUCAGUCUUCUGCAUGUGUACAAGUAUGUGUAGGUCUUCUCUUUUGGGCUAGUAGGUUUCCCCCAUAGAAAAAUUUCUAAUGUUCUACCUGGGAAUGGGAGGCUGCUGCUAGACUUUGGAUUGCUGAACAGGAUAAGGGCACAGUGGGCCUUGUUCUUCAUUAUGUAGACGAGCAGAAUACCUGUACUUUGUUGCUUCACUCCUGUCUUCAGCGAUGCCAGCGUGCCUGAAUCUGGGACCUCUUCGGUUCAACAUCAUCCAGGAGAAAACUUCUUAUCUAGGGUUGAGGGAGCAGUUGCAUGGCUCCGUGGAAUAUGGGAGAAAUUCUGGGAUUUGAACUGCUCUUUAUAUCACUGCUUUUCAAAUUUUAAGGGGUUUACAGAGCACUUGGGAGUUAAAGUGUAGGCCUGAUUCGGUAGGUCUGGAUGGGACCUGAAAUUCUGCAUUUCUAACACACUUUUAAGAGUGCCUAUGCUGCUGGCCCACAGGCUUGGCUAACAAAGUUUUAGCUGAACUAUCAAUCCAACUUUCCUUGAAUGCUGAUGCUUUCCUAGGGUUCUGGGGACAUGAAUAAAGUGACAUUUCCUUGAUUUUUCCCGCUGCAGUCUCAGGCCGUAGGAUUUUCUGUUUUGUGAAAUGAGUUAUAACUUGUUCAUAUUAAAGUGAGAUAGAAGGAUAUCCCUCUCCUGUUUUUGUCGUUUCCUGUUCUCUUUUCCUUGUGGGUUCAUAGUUUCUGAUUCCUCUUUUGUUAUUUUAGUAGAGUAAAAGAGGAAACAGAUAAAUACAUGAGUUCAAGUUGCCAUAUUUUCUUAUUUUAGAUAAUUGCAGGCAUCCCAAAAGCAUUUUUUAUGACUGUAAAAUUCUAUGGAAGUAUUCAUUAAGAGAUUAUUUGUUGAGCAAACUAGGAG